rnacentral:rRNA from 1 species
AUACAGAGGGUGCGAGCGUUAAUCGGAAUUACUGGGCGUAAAGCGCGCGUAGGCGGCUUAUUAAGUCAGAUGUGAAAUCCCCGGGCUCAACCUGGGAACUGCAUCUGAUACUGGUAAGCUAGAGUUUUGGAGAGGGAAGUAGAAUUUCAGGUGUAGCGGUGAAAUGCAUAGAGAUCUGAAGGAAUACCAGUGGCGAAGGCGACUUCCUGGCCAAAAACUGACGCUGAGGUGCGAAAGCGUGGGUAGCAAACGGGAUUAGAGACCCUAGUAGUCC